rnacentral:rRNA from 1 species
UACGGAGGGGGCUAGCGUUGUUCGGAAUGACUGGGCGUAAAGGGCGCGUAGGCGGCGAUUCAAGUCAGAUGUGAAAGGCCUGGGCUCAACCCGGGAACUGCAUUUGAUACUGGAUUGCUUGAGUGCGGGAGAGGAUGGCGGAAUUCCCAGUGUAGAGGUGAAAUUCGUAGAUAUUGGGAAGAACACCGGUGGCGAAGGCGGCCAUCUGGACCGGUACUGACGCUGAGGCGCGAAAGCGUGGGGAGCAAACAGG